AAAUUGAAGAGUUUGAUCAUGGCUCAGAUUGAACGCUGGCGGCAGGCCUAACACAUGCAAGUCGAACGGUAGCACAGAGAGCUUGCUCUCGGGUGACGAGUGGCGGACGGGUGAGUAAUGUCUGGGAAACUGCCCGAUGGAGGGGGAUAACUACUGGAAACGGUAGCUAAUACCGCAUAACGUCGCAAGACCAAAGUGGGGGACCUUCGGGCCUCACACCAUCGGAUGUGCCCAGAUGGGAUUAGCUAGUAGGUGGGGUAACGGCUCACCUAGGCGACGAUCCCUAGCUGGUCUGAGAGGAUGACCAGCCACACUGGAACUGAGACACGGUCCAGACUCCUACGGGAGGCAGCAGUGGGGAAUAUUGCACAAUGGGCGCAAGCCUGAUGCAGCCAUGCCGCGUGUAUGAAGAAGGCCUUCGGGUUGUAAAGUACUUUCAGCGAGGAGGAAGGCGUUGUGGUUAAUAACCACAGCGAUUGACGUUACUCGCAGAAGAAGCACCGGCUAACUCCGUGCCAGCAGCCGCGGUAAUACGGAGGGUGCAAGCGUUAAUCGGAAUUACUGGGCGUAAAGCGCACGCAGGCGGUUUGUUAAGUCAGAUGUGAAAUCCCCGGGCUCAACCUGGGAACUGCAUUUGAAACUGGC
rnacentral:rRNA from 1 species